rnacentral:lncRNA from 1 species
UCCCCUUCCGAUAAGGGAAACGAGCGAGUGUGGCUACUCGAUAGCCUUAGCACGCUAGUUUCGCCUUCUAAUCAAAGGGAAAAUCAAGUCACGAUUUAGGUCUCCCCGUACCCAAUAUGCAUGAAUUCCCUAGGCUCAUGCAUUCUCAAUCCACUCUAUCAUUACACUUUCACUUUUGUCUCAUUUGCACACAUGCACCUUUUUAUCACUUUCACUUGCACACGAACACUUUUUUUGUCUCCACUUGCACACGAACAUUUUUUUUGUCUCCGCUUGCACACGAGCAUUUUAUCUUCACUCGCACACGAGUACUUUCAUCUACAUUUGCACACCUUCACUCUUAUCUUAUUACUUUUAUCAUUUUUUCACUUCACAUAAACUCACACUUUCACAUGGCAUGCAUUCCACUCAUUUUUCACGUCAUUUAGGUUUAGGUGUGACCUCUCCAAAAGGAUCAUUAUUGGGCUUCACAAUUAAUGUGAUUGGCACCACUCAACCUUUGAAGAGAAAUUUCCCCC